rnacentral:rRNA from 1 species
UACGUAGGGGGCAAGCGUUGUCCGGAAUCAUUGGGCGUAAAGAGCGUGUAGGCGGUUCGGUAAGUCGGCUGUGAAAGUCCAGGGCUCAACCCUGGGAUGCCGGUCGAUACUGCCGGACUAGAGUUAGGAAGAGGCGAGUGGAAUUCCCGGUGUAGCGGUGAAAUGCGCAGAUAUCGGGAGGAACACCUAUGGCGAAGGCAGCUCGCUGGGACGUUACUGACGCUGAGACGCGAAAGCGUGGGGAGCAAACAGG